rnacentral:lncRNA from 1 species
UGGGCCCAGCUCGGACUGGUCCGCCGGGCCCAAGGGCUCUGGUGCCUUCUGGAAAGCGCUGGCUGGGACUUCACCCUCCUCCUGCAUGUGACGGACACAGCACUGAUCCUGGCAGCUCCUUACCCCCAGCAGCCCGAAACUCACUCCUUAAUUACACAAGGGAAACCUUUUACCUCCGCAGCCAGAGUCUGGGGGGAAAGGCAGGCGUGGGAAGAUGGGUUCUCUACCUGGCCAGUGCCAUGUUGCCUGUUUCUUUACUGUAACUGUGGUGACAAAGAAAAGGGAAGAUGGAGCCUCCAUGUUGAACAUACCUGGCCCCCAGCACUAACUCCCUCUCUGGAUAUCUGGAACAAGGAGGACCUUAAACUUAACAAUAAAGCCAAUGAUGGUUCUACCAGUCUCCCCAAAGCCUCAAGUUUAAAAGCCAUAUGAACUGGCUGAUAGUGGAAAAUGGAAGCCAUGAGGAAAUCAGAUUAGAGUACUACCUGGUGAAGCCUGGAGGACCUACCAAGAAAAGCAAACUUGGAUCUUUGCAAGGUUAGAAGAACGAAUGGGAUCCAAGAAAAAGACUGGUCAUAUUCAACGGCUAAGAGCGUUGGAGAAGGCCUGUGGAGUCUCAGCAGGUCAGGUCCAUGACUCAUGAGUAGACACCUGUGUUUCUACUGCCUGGUGCCAUAAUCAUAAACAAGGAAGAAACUGAGGACAGGAGGGGCCAAACAAGUUACAGUUUCAUCCCUCCAGAGAGCCAACAGAGUAUUUUGCACGAAGUUGAAGCUAAACAGGUAUUAUGUCCUAUCUCUGGACUGAAUGACUAGAUGCUACUCAGCUUCUGAACUAGAGGAAGCCUGGGACCUUGACCGCACUAAUGCUGAUGACAGCGGAUUUGCAAGUGGCUAGAGCAAAGAGGAACGAGGAUGGAUUCGAUAAGGUGCAACAAGUCCUGAACACACACAGAGAACUGGCUGUGAAUCCUGUUUCUGCCACUCACCACUUACUUGUUGGGUAACCUUAGCCACUUCAUUUAUCCUCUCUGAUCUUCAGGCCUACCUCAUGUCCUCCCCAAAGAGAUGGUGGGUAAGAGAGAACUUUGCAAAAGGCUGCCAGAGCAUAAAUAGGUCUUAUGACUAUGUAGCAGAAAAAUGGGACCUCAAAGAGGAGAGAGACCUGCAAAGCGGGGGACUGCUGCCAUUCUUUGAGUGGUGGCUCAAAAUAUUUCCCCAAACUGUCCCCAUCUGGUCAGGAUGCCCCACAGCCUUUUACUAAGAUGGUGUCUUCAUCUAGCCUCAGCCCAGCUGCAGUACCUUUCUGGAACUCCCACCACUGAUGCUCAAGAGGAGAGUGUAAGUUCAAGAGGGUUAAGCUCUCUACCCACCCGCUCAUCCACAGUCCCUCAGACAAGCAUGCAGAUACAUGCUUUGUUUGGUUGGUUGGUUGGUUGGUCGGUCGGUUGGUUUUGUUUUGAGACAGGGUCUUGCUCUGUUGCUCAG